GGUUUAUUAAGUCUGAUGUGAAAUCCCGAGGCCCAACCUCGGAACUGCAUUGGAAACUGAUUUACUUGAGUGCGAUAGAGGCAAGUGGAACUCCAUGUGUAGCGGUGAAAUGCGUAGAUAUGUGGAAGAACACCAGUGGCGAAAGCGGCUUGCUAGAUCGUAACUGACGUUGAGGCUCGAAAGUAUGGGUAGCAAACGGGAUUAGAUACCCCGGUAGUCCAUACCGUAAACGAUGGGUGCUAGUUGUUAAGAGGUUUCCGCCUCCUAGUGACGUAGCAAACGCAUUAAGCACCCCGCCUGAGGAGUACGGCCGCAAGGCUAAAACUUAAAGGAAUUGACGGGGACCCGCACAAGCGGUGGAGCAUGUGGUUUAAUUCGAAGAUACGCGAAAAACCUUACCAGGUCUUGACAUACCAAUGAUCGCUUUUGUAAUGAAAGCUUUUCUUCGGAACAUUGGAUACAGGUGGUGCAUGGUCGUCGUCAGCUCGUGUCGUGAGAUGUUGGGUUAAGUCCCGCAACGAGCGCAACCCUUGUUAUUAGUUGCCAGCAUUUAGUUGGGCACUCUAAUGAGACUGCCGGUGAUAAACCGGAGGAAGGUGGGGACGACGUCAGAUCAUCAUGCCCCUUAUGACCUGGGCAACACACGUGCUACAAUGGGAAGUACAACGAGUCGCAAACCGGCGACGGUAAGCUAAUCUCUUAAAACUUCUCUCAGUUCGGACUGGAGUCUGCAACUCGACUCCACGAAGGCGGAAUCGCUAGUAAUCGCGAAUCAGCAUGUCGCGGUGAAUACGUUCCCGGGUCUUGUACACACCGCCCGUCAAAUCAUGGGAGUCGGAAGUACCCAAAGUCGCUUGGCUAACUUUUAGAGGCCGGUGCCUAAGGUAAAAU
rnacentral:rRNA from 1 species